GGCUCGUUGGUCUAGGGGUACGAUUCUCGCUUCGGGUGCGAGAGGUCCUGGGUUCAAAUCCCGGACGAGCCC